GCAUGUAGGUUAAUAUUAGCAGCUUGUAAUCGUGUGCAAGGAAAUAUUAUAUCAUAAUAAAUUUCAGAUCAUACGUAAAAUAUCUCUAUAGCAACUUAAGAUGCUAAUGCUUAUUCAACAGAUUAGUUAGCUAUUGCGCAUGUAUUUGAAAGGUGGUCAUAGAAGCUAUUGCGCAUGUAUUUGAAAGGUGGUCAUAGAAAGAACAGAAGUGUUCCGAAUAACAUCCGGUGUUCCGAAAGACUACAGAUAUCGUCCAAUAUAUACUGCGUAAACCCUCAGGGGUUUACGCAAAAA
rnacentral:lncRNA from 1 species